rnacentral:lncRNA from 1 species
UUUAGUUUUACUAAAAUUGAAUUUUUUUUAACAUAGAUGAGUGAAUGUGGAUUGAGUCAUGAUAGCCUUUGAUUUAGAGUUUGGUGACAUAUGUUAUAGUAUUGUUGGUAUUUCUAAGUUUAUAUUUUGAAAUAUUAUCUUUUUAAAUUUUUUUAAUUUGACCUAUAUGUGUUUAGUGACUAUCUAAUAACUUGAUUUAAACACUUUUCAAGUUUUUUUUUUAGUUUAAUGAAGUGUUUUUUUUUUGCUUAGUUAUUUGAUUAUAGGAUCCGGAAGAGUGUGAGAAGACUUUUGUUUACGGUUUGGUAACAUAUGUUAUAGUAUUAUUUGUAUUUAGGGUUAGAUUUUGGAAUCUUAACUUAAAAAACAUUUUUGACCUAAAUGUGUUUAGUUUUGUUAUAUUAAACACUUUAUAAAUUGAUUUUAAUUUUAAUGAAUUGUUAUUCGCUAUUUAGUUAGUUAUUUGAUUAGGUUAUGGUUUGGAAGACUUAUAGAAGACGUCCCUAGAAGGCUUUCAAAAAGACUUCC